UACAGAGGGUGCAAGCGUUAAUCGGAAUUACUGGGCGUAAAGCGUGCGUAGACGGUUACAUAAGUCGGGUGUGAAAGCCCCGGGCUCAACCUGGGAAUUGCAUUCGAGACUGCGUAGCUAGGGUGCGGAAGAGGGAAGCGGAAUUUCCGGUGUAGCGGUGAAAUGCGUAGAUAUCGGGAGGAACACCAGUGGCGAAGGCGGCUAUCUGGGCUGAAACUGACGCUGAGGCGCGAAGGCUAGGGGAGCAAACAGG
rnacentral:rRNA from 1 species